CAGCUUGCUGCUUCGCUGACGAGUGGCGGACGGGUGAGUAAUGUCUGGGAAACUGCCUGAUGGAGGGGGAUAACUACUGGAAACGGUAGCUAAUACCGCAUAACGUCGCAAGACCAAAGAGGGGGACCUUCGGGCCUCUUGCCAUCGGAUGUGCCCAGAUGGGAUUAGCUAGUAGGUGGGGUAACGGCUCACCUAGGCGACGAUCCCUAGCUGGUCUGAGAGGAUGACCAGCCACACUGGAACUGAGACACGGUCCAGACUCCUACGGGAGGCAGCAGUGGGGAAUAUUGCACAAUGGGCGCAAGCCUGAUGCAGCCAUGCCGCGUGUAUGAAGAAGGCCUUCGGGUUGUAAAGUACUUUCAGCGGGGAGGAAGGCGAUAAGGUUAAUAACCUUGUCGAUUGACGUUACCCGCAGAAGAAGCACCGGCUAACUCCGUGCCAGCAGC
rnacentral:rRNA from 1 species